GCCGGGAUAGCUCAGCUGGGAGAGCAACAGACUGAAGUUGCAAUUGGCUUUCUGGAGGUCCCGUGUUCAAUCCACGGUCCUGGCA